GUUGGAGUUUGUCUGCAAGGCCACAUUGCCUGGUGAACCUGACACGAUCGGAGGAAUCACCUCCCACAUCAAGAGUCGAGACACGGUGUGUAACUUAUACUCUGGCACCCCGACUGGGUACCUCCAUUAAAGGAUGCUCCUAGCGUUUCCUGAGGACUCCAAGCACUCUGGCAGACACCACAAUCAUCGAACCAAAGAAGCGUAUACCUUCU